UAGACAAUUGUGGUAUAAAAGGACCUAGUUGCUCCAGGGGCUCCAGUCGAUUCGCAAAGCCGAGUUUUCAGAUUGUGCUGUUGCCCUCAAAGAGAGAGUCUUUAACUAUGGAGAUGGACUCACUUGAACGGCUGAGAAGCUUCAUGAUUGCGUUCUCAACUGUUCGAAGACAUCAUCUUAGUGACAAUACUGAUGAAGAUCUUCAUGCAUCCCAAGUUGCCGAAGAGACUCACAAACAGCACCUCAUGGCGCUAGAUGUUAUAAAGGUUAAAGCUCCAGUAGAUGUCAUGGCAGUUAAGAAACUUCGCAAUGAGGGAUGGAUGGGAACUAUCGAAGUGGUUGCAUGGCCCUAUUCUCCGGAUGGCGAAAGGAUUCGUAGAAUAGCAUAUACUGAAGGAGUUCCAAUAGCCAAUCCUUUUGAAAGCUGAAGAUGAAGCAUUGGUUUUGAAUUAAACUCCUGUUUAUAGAUGUUAGCUAGUUUUAACAGCAUAUUAACUUAAUGCAGUUCUGCUUAAGGAGUGACUCCCGCUUUCUGCUAGUUCUGCUUGUAAUUUAGAUCAGUUCUGUUUAGGGGUCCCGAGGGGCUUUCGGUUGUAAGUUUUCUUUGCUUCUUGAACCGAACAAAAAAAAAAACUGGUAUUUAUUGACAUGUUAGAGUGGAGCUGCAAUAUCACUAUUACCAAUAUUUAAUUUUGGGUACUGUUUUUAUUAGCGUUUCCUUGUUUAUUUCUGACUUCACUUGGCCCCUUCAGAGUUUCCACGUUUAGCUUCGUUACCGUCCAAAAUAUUGACCUGUCUUAUUGAAUUCACGUAGAUGUUCAAUUAUUUGCAUACGAGUACGUAAAGAAAUGCUCUUAAUUCCCCAUUUGAGUGGACAUGGAAGGACUCCCUCAAAUGGCUAAGAAGCUUCAUGAUUGUGUUCUCAGAUGUUGUCGAAAGCUCCUUAGAUGUCAUGCCAGUUUUGAUACUUUGGAAUGAAUAAUGGACGACUUCUCCGGAAAACAGGAAGAUGCAGACUAUAACUGAGCUCCGCGGCGUUUCAGUGGUUGAUGUUGAUUCUGAUGAAAGCUAAAUAGGCGGCCAUGGAUUGAAUUAGGUGAAGUCUGUUGAA